CACGUAGGGUGCGAGCGUUGUCCGGAAUUAUUGGGCGUAAAGAGCUCGUAGGCGGUGUGUCACGUCGGCCCGUGAAAACCUGCAGCUUAACUGUGGGCGUGCGGGCGAUACGGGCAGACUGGAGUACUGCAGGGGAGACUGGAAUUCCUGGUGUAGCGGUGGAAUGCGCAGAUAUCAGGAGGAACACCAAUAGCGAAGGCAGCUCGCUGGGACGUUACUGACACUGAGGCGCGAAAGCGUGGGGAGCGAACAGG
rnacentral:rRNA from 1 species